rnacentral:rRNA from 1 species
UACGGAGGGUGCGAGCGUUGUCCGGAAUCACUGGGCGUAAAGCGUGCGCAGGCGGUUUGUUAAGUCCGCUGUGAAAUCCCCGAGCUCAACUUGGGAAUUGCAGUGGAUACUGGCAAGCUGGAGUAUGGUAGAGGAAGGUGGAAUUCCCGGUGUAGCAGUGAAAUGCGUAGAGAUCGGGAGGAACACCAGUGGCGAAGGCGGCCUUCUGGACCAAUACUGACGCUCAUGCACGAAAGCGUGGGGAGCAAACAGG